rnacentral:rRNA from 1 species
CUGUUUGAUCCUGGCUCAGGACGAACGCUGGCGGCGUGCUUAACACAUGCAAGUCGAACGGAAAGGCCCUGCUUUUGUGGGGUGCUCGAGUGGCGAACGGGUGAGUAACACGUGAGUAACCUGCCCUUGACUUUGGGAUAACUUCAGGAAACUGGGGCUAAUACCGGAUAGGAGCUCCUGCUGCAUGGUGGGGGUUGGAAAGUUUCGGCGGUUGGGGAUGGACUCGCGGCUUAUCAGCUUGUUGGUGGGGUAGUGGCUUACCAAGGCUUUGACGGGUAGCCGGCCUGAGAGGGUGACCGGCCACAUUGGGACUGAGAUACGGCCCAGACUCCUACGGGAGGCAGCAGUGGGAAUAUUGCACAAUGGGCGGAAGCCUGAUGCAGCAACGCCGCGUGCGGGAUGACGGCCUUCGGGUUGUAAACCGCUUUCGCCUGUGACGAAGCGUGAGUGACGGUAAUGGGUAAAGAAGCACCGGCUAACUACGUGCCAGCAGCCGCGGUGAUACGUAGGGUGCGAGCGUUGUCCGGAUUUAUUGGGCGUAAAGGGCUCGUAGGUGGUUGAUCGCGUCGGAAGUGUAAUCUUGGGGCUUAACCCUGAGCGUGCUUUCGAUACGGGUUGACUUGAGGAAGGUAGGGGAGAAUGGAAUUCCUGGUGGAGCGGUGGAAUGCGCAGAUAUCAGGAGGAACACCAGUGGCGAAGGCGGUUCUCUGGGCCUUUCCUGACGCUGAGGAGCGAAAGCGUGGGGAGCGAACAGGCUUAGAUACCCUGGUAGUCCACGCUGUAAACGGUGGGUACUAGGUGUGGGGUCCAUUCCACGGGUUCCGUGCCGUAGCUAACGCUUUAAGUACCCCGCCUGGGGAGUACGGCCGCAAGGCUAAAACUCAAAGGAAUUGACGGGGCCCCGCACAAGCGGCGGAGCAUGCGGAUUAAUUCGAUGCAACGCGUAGAACCUUACCUGGGUUUGACAUGGAUCGGGAGUGCUCAGAGAUGGGUGUGCCUCUUUUGGGGUCGGUUCACAGGUGGUGCAUGGCUGUCGUCAGCUCGUGUCGUGAGAUGUUGGGUUAAGUCCCGCAACG